rnacentral:rRNA from 1 species
AUUGAACGCUGGCGGAAUGCUUUACACAUGCAAGUCGAGCGGCAGCGCGGGGCAACCUGGCGGCGAGCGGCGAACGGGUGAGUAAUACGUCGGAACGUACCCAGUUGUGGGGGAUAGCCCGGCGAAAGCCGGAUUAAUACCGCAUACGACCUGAGGGUGAAAGGAGGGGAUCGCAAGACCUCUCGCAGGUGGAGCGGCCGAUGGCGGAUUAGCUAGUUGGUAGGGUAAAGGCCUACCAAGGGGACGAUCCGUAGCGGGUCUGAGAGGACGACCCGCCACACUGGAACUGAGACACGGUCCAGACUCCUACGGGAGGCAGCAGUGGGGAAUUUUGGACAAUGGGGGCAACCCUGAUCCAGCCAUUCCGCGUGAGUGAAGAAGGCCUUCGGGUUGUAAAGCUCUUUCGGCAGGAACGAAACGGUCCUUUCUAAUAAAGAGGGCUAAUGACGGUACCUGAAGAAGAAGCACCGGCUAACUACGUGCCAGCCGCCGCGGUAAUAC